GACGAACGCUGGCGGCGUGCUUAACACAUGCAAGUCGAACGGAAAGGCCCUGCUUUUGUGGGGUGCUCGAGUGUCGAACGGGUGAGUAACACGUGAGUAACCUGCCCUUGACUUUGGGAUAACUUCAGGAAACUGGGGCUAAUACCGGAUAUGAGCUCCUUCUGCAUGGUGGGUGUUUGAACGUUUCGUCGGUUGGGGAUGGACUCGCGGCUUAUCAGCUUGUUGGUGGGGUAGUGGCUUACCAAGGCUUUGACGGUUAGCCGGCCUGAGAGGGUGACCGGCCACAUUGGGACUGAGAUACGGCCCAGAUGCGUACGGGAGGAAGCAGUGGGGAAUAUUGAAAAAUGGGCGGAAGCCUGAAGCAGCAACGCCGCGUGCGGGAUGACGGCCUUCGGGUGGUAAACAGAUUAAGACUGUGAGGAAGCGUGAGGGACGGAAAAGGGUAAAGAAGCAACGGCUAAAUACGUG
rnacentral:rRNA from 1 species